UACCAGCACCCCGAGUGGUCGGGACGAUUAUUGGGCCUAAAGCAUCCGUAGCCGGUCCUACAAGUCUUCCGUUAAAUCCACCUGCUUAACAGAUGGGCUGCGGAAGAUACUAUAGGGCUAGGAGGCGGGAGAGGCAAGCGGUACUCAGUGGGUAGGGGUAAAAUCCUCUGAUCCAUUGAAGACCACCAGUGGCGAAGGCGGCUUGCCAGAACGCGCUCGACGGUGAGGGAUGAAAGCUGGGGGGAGCAAACAGG
rnacentral:rRNA from 1 species